rnacentral:rRNA from 1 species
AACGAACGCUGGCGGCAUGCCUAACACAUGCAAGUCGAACGAGACCUUCGGGUCUAGUGGCGCAUGGGUGCGUAACGCGUGGGAACCUGCCCUUAGGUUCGGAAUAAUACCCCGACAGGGGUGCUAAUACAGGAUAAUGUACUCGGAUCAAAGAUUGAUCGUCUUUGGAGGGGCACGCGUUGGAUUAGCCAGUUGGUAGGGUAAAAGCCUACCAAGGAGACGCUCCAUAGCUGGUCUGAGAGGAUGAUCAGCCACACUGGGACUGAGACACGGCGCAGACUCCUACGGGAGGCAGCAGUGGGGAAUAUUGGACAAUGGGCGAAAGCCUGAUCCAGCAAUGCCGCGUGAGUGAUGAAGUCCUUAGGGUUGUAAAGCUCUUUUACCCGGGAUGAUAAUGACAGUACCGGGAGAAUAAGCUCCGGCUAACUCCGUG